rnacentral:rRNA from 1 species
AACGAACGCUGGCGGCAGGCCUAACACAUGCAAGUCGAGCGGACCCUUCGGGGUUAGCGGCGGACGGGUGAGUAACGCGUGGGAAUAUGCCCUUCUCUACGGAAUAGUCCUGGGAAACUGGGGGUAAUACCGUAUACGCCCUUUGGGGGAAAGAUUUAUCGGGGAAGGAUUAGCCCGCGUUGGAUUAGGUAGUUGGUGGGGUAAUGGCCUACCAAGCCGACGAUCCAUAGCUGGUUUGAGAGGAUGAUCAGCCACACUGGGACUGAGACACGGCCCAGACUCCUACGGCAGGCAGCAGUGGGGAAUCUUAGACAAUGGCGGCAACCCUGAUCUAGCCAUGCCGCGUGAGUGAUGAAGGCCGUAGGGUGGUAAAGCUCUCUCAGCUGGGAACAUAAUGACGGUACCAGCAGAACAAGCCCCCCCUAACGCCGUG